GGGGGCGACUGGUUUCGACAUGAUAUUUCUGAGGGAAGAAGCAGGUCGAGGUCGCCUUACCUCGUUAAACAGGGGCAAAGACGCUUAGGCGCCAACAAUGAUUUCGCACUCGCUGCCUAAAUAGUGCAGCGACGCCGACCCGGUGGAUGUCCCCGCUACCGGUAAGGCGCCACUUAAGGGGACUGCCACGACGGCCGCGGGCGGCAUGACGUCGUGAAAGAUCGGACCGCCAUGGUUCCAGCGCCGCGCGUCAUCAGGUAACGCUGGCACCGAGACUCCACUGGUGACUGAGCCUGGAGAUGCUUCCCAGGGAGGUAUUGUGGACCGGAGUUCGAUUCUCCGCGCCUCCACCA
rnacentral:tmRNA from 1 species